GACCUACUCCCUUCGUUCGGAAUUACUUGUCGCGAAAAUGGAUGUAUCUAGAUAUAUUUUAGUUCUAGAUACAUCCAUUUUUAAGACAAGUAAUUUCGAACGGAGGGAGUAUAAU
rnacentral:pre_miRNA from 1 species